AUAUACCUGUUUCGCUUCUUCCAUAUGAAAAUAGACUCAUCAAGAUUCGAUUCCAUAACUUAUUCAUUAUUUAAUUCCAUUUAUACUAUUUUUAGUGAUUUUUCAAAUUCAAACUACUGCUACUUACCAAAAACUGUUUUAGUACAAAUAUUGUUAACUAGUUUAUAACAUCUUUACUUCAAUUCAUUCAAACUCUAUACAUGCCAUAUAAAUCUUUAAACAUAAAACAAAAACUACCGGAAUUGAUCUGAAUAGUGUGCCCUGUUGUGUUGAUCCGAUCUACCAACUUCUCUUUAAUUCAAUCUACAAAAGAAAUUAUCAAACACACACAAGUAAGCUUAUUGAAGCUUAGUAAGCUCAUAGGCAUAAAAACACAAAUCAUAUCAAAUAUUGUACACAAUCAUAUAUCUAUUAGUUUAACUAUUUCAUCCUCCAAAUCACAAUUUCAUUAAUAACUCAUUGGAAUAAUUUCCAUAUGGCUACUCACAAUUUAACUCCCUUAGGCCCAUUUCUCAUUUACUUCAUUGUCAAAUUAGGGAACAAUAAGGGAAUUGAGUGCUUCAUUAUCACAUUGCCAUACUAAACUAUGGACUUUCGCAUUGUUACGCAUCACACACUGAAGCCAUAGCCUUGCCAUGGUCUUACAUGGUUCACAUAUCAUACCGAAGCCAUAUCCCAGACAUGGUCUUAUACGGAAUCACAUUAUCACAUUAUACCUAUGCCAUAGCCCAGCUAUGGUCUUAUACAGAGUCACAUUAUCACAUUGCACCGAUGCCAUAGCCCAGCUAUGGUCUUAAACGGGCGCACUUAUCACAUAUUUUUCGUCAAUUCAUCAGGGUCACAGAAUAGAAACACUCAAAUCCAUUGUUCCUACUAAUUUGUACUUUUAGUUACACAUUAUUUAUUAGUUAAUGCAAAUUGAUAGUAUUCAUCAACAAUAAAAUACUUUAACAAUCAUAAGACUUUCAUAACAAAACAUUGAACUUUGCCAUAUGAACUUACCUGGACUAAUU
rnacentral:lncRNA from 1 species